GUGGGGAAUAUUGGACAAUGGGGGCAACCCUGAUCCAGCCAUGCCGCGUGAGUGAUGAAGGCCUUCGGGUUGUAAAGCUCUUUUGGCGGGGACGAUGAUGACGGUACCCGCAGAAUAAGCCCCGGCUAACUUCGUGCCAGCAGCCGCGGUAAUACGAAGGGGGCAAGCGUUGUUCGGAGUUACUGGGCGUAAAGGGCGCGUAGGCGGCGAUACAAGUCAGAUGUGAAAGCCCUGGGCUCAACCCGGGAUGUGCAUUUGAGACUGUGUUGCUAGAAUCCAGGAGAGGUUGGUGGAAUUCCCAGUGUAGAGGUGAAAUUCGUAGAGAUUGGGAAGAACACCGGAGGCGAAGGCGGCCAACUGGCCUGGAAUUGACGCUGAGGCGCGAAAGCGUGGGGAGCAAACAGG
rnacentral:rRNA from 1 species